rnacentral:rRNA from 1 species
GAGGGGCAGCAUUAAAGUUUGCUUGCAAACUUUAGAUGGCGACCGGCGCACGGGUGAGUAACACGUAUCCAACCUGCCGAUAACUCGGGGAUAGCCUUUCGAAAGAAAGAUUAAUACCCGAUGGUAUAUUUUCACCGCAUGGUGAAACUAUUAAAGAAUUUCGGUUAUCGAUGGGGAUGCGUUCCAUUAGGCAGUUGGUGAGGUAACGGCUCACCAAACCUUCGAUGGAUAGGGGUUCUGAGAGGAAGGUCCCCCACAUUGGAACUGAGACACGGUCCAAACUCCUACGGGAGGCAGCAGUGAGGAAUAUUGGUCAAUGGGCGCGAGCCUGAACCAGCCAAGUAGCGUGAAGGAUGACGGCCCUAUGGGUUGUAAACUUCUUUUAUAUGGGAAUAAAGUUUGGUAUGUAUACCAUUUUGUAUGUACCAUAUGAAUAAGGAUCGGCUAACUCCGUGCCAGCAGCCGCGGUAAUACGGAGGAUCCGAGCGUUAUCCGGAUUUAUUGGGUUUAAAGGGAGCGUAGGUGGAUUGUUAAGUCAGUUGUGAAAGUUUGCGGCUCAACCGUAAAAUUGCAGUUGAAACUGGCAGUCUUGAGUACAGUAGAGGUGGGCGGAAUUCGUGGUGUAGCGGUGAAAUGCUUAGAUAUCACGAAGAACUCCGAUUGCGAAGGC